rnacentral:lncRNA from 1 species
CAAUGCUCCGGCGAGUCCAAGAGGCGGCUAUGGUGGAUCAUCAGACAUGUACAAGGAUUUCGAUUCCAAUAAACGAUUGCUCUUUGGAUUAGAGAGAGGUCUGGCAGAACCAUUAGGUGCCUACACCGAACCAUUCAAUGUUAACGAAAUGUUAUUAGGUCCGCUUUAAGGAAGAGAUAGAGAUUCAAUUCUUAACGGAGAAGUCCAUUCCAUGCAAAUAUAUAGUCGAGGGUUGCUGGCUGAUUGAAACACCCAGAAUAGAUCUACCAAUUCACUAAUCCCUCCG